UAAUACUUAAUAAUGCACAAGCAUAGAUUGUACCCAGAAGGUGCCUGCUUACACAUUGUCUGUACUGUUUUAGCAGUGAAAAAGAAUACCCAGAGAUAAGGCACGGGUGGUGGGUCACCAAAAGCUGACCUCACCCCAGCAGAGGCCAGCUUUGGAGCUAAAUAAAGGCAGGCCUGUUGGAGGGGAUCCCUGGGGGAAAAGAGACAAGCAUAGGUCCCUCACAAGAUGCCACCCGCUUCAUACAAGUGUCUGGCAGCACUGUGUUACUGUUAAAGCCACCAGCACGAGCACCUGACGAUGCUGAUCCAGUGAGUACUCCAUCAAAGGCAUACUGUAGGCCUGGAACGUCUUGUCUACUAGCUUCAAUAUGAAUCCGUUUAAAUGUGAUGGGGUCAAGGCCCCAUUUCAUCAGCAUAUAACGGCGAUGAGGAGACCAUCUCGCUGGAUUCCAAAAGGCAUAAGGACCCAGAGUCAUUGGUGCACUGGACUGCACACACAUAAGGAUAAAAGCCCCCUCAGGUGCCCAUGAGGCAGAUUUUGUAAGUAUGAAAUCUUUUUACAGCAUUAAUGUUCAGGUGAACAUAACUUUUUUAUCUUUUCCACUGAACACUGGCAAAAUGGCCUGGCUCAGUCCAUGACUCCAGGAUCUUUUGGACCUCUGAAAUCUAUCAGCGCCUAUCACAAGGUGAAUUCUCUGGUGUGUUGCUGGUAGACAGGGGGUAAGGCUGCCAGCCGUUUUUCCUGACACCUUUCACAGACCCCCAGGAAGCACAGCAGGCCUACAACUAUGCCCAUGCUAGGGCCAGAGUUGAAAUGACCUUUGGCCUCCUGAAGGCACGCUCUCACUGCCUUCACAAAUUAAGGGUCAGCCCUGUGAGGGCAUGUGACAUUACUGUGGCUGGUGGUGUCCUCUACAAUGUGGCCUGCCUGAGGAAGGAGAGGGCACCCAGAGUGCUGCCAGCCAUGGACUGGGACAAUCCGGAAAUCUUCCCUGAUGACAACAGUGGUCGGCUGCUGAGGGACCAAUAGGUGUUGAAUUAUUUUAGUCAGUAUGUGUGCUUUCACAUUUUUUUGAUGUUUGUGCUGUAUACUGUGUGUAUACUGUUUGUAAUACAAGCUUGUAGGGAGGCUACUGCAUCCAUUAAUUGUCUUGUUUUCAGUUGUCUGAAAUUUUCUGUUCAGUUAAUGUGUAUGGAUUUGUCCUGCAUUUAUUUAAGUGUGCAGACAUGCAGGGUGUGUUAUAUACAGACCUUUGAAUGUGUAUUUAUCCUUUGGUUGUAUAAUAUGCUUUGAUUCUGUGCUUUCCAUCUUGUAGAGUCACUGUGUGACUUCAGUUUCGAAAGGAGCUGAUGGUUUACCUGCUUUGUUUUGUCCUUAUUCA